CGGGGUGAGUAACGCGUGGAGAACCUGCCGUAUACUGGGGGAUAACACUUAGAAAUAGGUGCUAAUACCGCAUAAGCGCACAGCUUCGCAUGAAGCAGUGUGAAAAACUCCGGUGGUAUACGAUGGAUCCGCGUCUGAUUAGCUGGUUGGCGGGGUAACAGCCCACCAAGGCGACGAUCAGUAGCCGGCCUGAGAGGGUGAACGGCCACAUUGGGACUGAGACACGGCCCAGACUCCUACGGGAGGCAGCAG
rnacentral:rRNA from 1 species